AUUGAACGCUGGCGGCAGGCCUAACACAUGCAAGUCGAGCGGAGCGGCGGACGGGUGAGUAAUGCAUAGGAAUCUGCCUGGUAGUGGGGGAUAACGUCCGGAAACGGGCGCUAACACCGCAUACUAUCAGACAAGCCUAGGUGGAACUAGCUAGUUGGGGGGGAAAAGGCCUACCAAGGCGACGAUCCGUAACUGGUCUGAGAGGAUGAUCAGUCACCCUGGAAAUGAGACACGGUCCAGACUCCUACGGGAGGCAGCAGUGGGGAAUAUUGAACAAUGGGCCAAAGCCGAAUCCAGCCAUGCCGCGUGUGGGAAGAAGGGCUUCGGAGUAUAAAGCACUUUAAGUUGGGAGGCGUUACCAGCAGAAUAAGCACCGGCUAACUUCGUGCCAGCAGCCGCGGUAAUAC
rnacentral:rRNA from 1 species